GUUAGUUUAUUUAUGGGAAUCCAUCCAAUUAACUGAAUAAUAAUGUUUUACGUUAAAUAACGAAUGCGUAACUUGUAACUAGUUUGCGAUGGAUUUAUACGUGGAGCGAAAUAUUGGUGAGACAACGAGGAAUGUGAUGCGUUGAAAAUUCAAAGGCUGCUUUUUGUCAUUGCAUGAGCUAUUUAUGUGUGAGUGGUGAAAUAAUGCAUGUUUAAGCAGACAGAGUAAAAAUUAGGCGCAUCAUAUUAUCCUUGUGAGCCCUUGCAAGUUUUGACAUUUCAUGCAUGUCCUUACGUUGCUGAACUCCUCCAGAAACGGUAUUUGGAGUUUCGUCCAAAAUAUGUGGCGGUUUUAAUUCCAGUUCACAUUUCAACAAAUGUGCAUCAAGAGAGUCUUCAAAAAAGAAAACAUAUAUGCGCGCAUAACUAUAUAUAGUCCAUGCAUGGCCUACUUAGCAGGACUUUGCAAUAUAACUAAGAAGACAUUUCAAAUACAAUACAUAAGUUACAGGAUAUGUCAGUUCCAUAGACAUGCAGAAGAGAAAUGCUAUCCCCACACAGACCAAGACAGAACUUUGAGAAUAUGAGGUAUAUCCACGUUUGGGGGAAAAAGGUCCGGCGAGUAGUAAAAUGCAAAAUUGAUGAAACAGGACAAACAUUACAAACUGAAAAGAAUAUCUGUGGAAUAGUUAAAAGUUAGACCUCACUGGAUACAUAUACCGAAUUUCUUUUAUCAAGGGAAGAAGGUUGUGUGCAAACUUGUAAGUUUCAGCGGAAACAUUCAAAGAAUUUAAAGUAUACUAAGCAUACUAAACUUAUUGUUCAAAACAUAAAAAUAAGUAGUUUUUUACAGGUCUUACGGCAAUGAACGCUCUAACAAAGAUUUGGUCAUGUUGAACACGACAUACAAGUACGGGGUGAUCGGCAGUUCGGCCGCAAAACUUUUGUUGAAAAAUAUUCCAGUUCUCUAUAUUGUAUCUUACAAACAGUUAUCUCAUAUAAUCAUCAAUUCUUUUACUAUUUUAACUAGAUAAAGACGUGACACAUGGAUUUAUUAUCAAUCAUCUUAUAUAUUAAAAUAGAAAUCAUGACUUCUUUUCAUGUGUGAUUUUUUAAGUUUGGACCAUUCCUAGAAAAUAUCAUAUUUUACAUAAGUUCAUUAUUAUAUCUUUUAAUAUCUUUAUCUUUUUAUUUGAAAUACAAAUCAAUACUAUUAAAACUGAAGGGCCUUUUUUGAGGUCACCUUAGAGUUUUAAAGUAUUUACAAUAUACUGCCACUAACUUUAUUUAAACAUAUGCUUUUAAUUAAAAUCAGUAUUUUCGAAAUUCUUUUUAUUUAAACAGAAACACCUACAUUACACCUACGUAAUUCUUUUAUUUUAAAAGUAACAUAAUGUCUUCCUAAUGAAACAUAACGUAUCAUUAAAUAACAAAGUAACUUCUACAUUUUAAACAAACUUCAAUUGCAUCAACACUAAUUUUCCUUUUUUAUAGAUUAGAUGUACCAUCUCUUGUGACAAAAAAAAAAGA